rnacentral:rRNA from 1 species
ACGAAGGGGGCUAGCGUUGCUCGGAAUGACUGGGCGUAAAGGGUGCGUAGGCGGAUGGCACAGUCAGAUGUGAAAUUCCUGGGCUUAACCUGGGGGCUGCAUUUGAUACGUGUGAUCUGGAGUGAGGAAGAGGGUUGUGGAAUUCCCAGUGUAGAGGUGAAAUUCGUAGAUAUUGGGAAGAACACCGGUGGCGAAGGCGGCGACCUGGUCCUUAACUGACGCUGAGGCGCGAAAGCGUGGGGAGCAGACAGG